CUAAUACUCCCUCCGUUCAGAAUUACUUGUCGCGGGUAUGGAUGUAUCUAGAUGUAUUCUGGUUCUAGAUACAUUCAUUUCUGUGACGAGUAAUUUAGAACGGAGGGGAGGGAGUAAUAU
rnacentral:pre_miRNA from 1 species